rnacentral:rRNA from 1 species
GAACGGGGCGGGCGUGCUAAUACAUGCAAGUAGAACGCUGAAGAGAGGAGCUUGCUCUUCUUGGAUGAGUUGCGAACGGGUGAGUAACGCGUAGGUAACCUGCCUUGUAGCGGGGGAUAACUAUUGGAAACGAUAGCUAAUACCGCAUAACAAUGGAUGACACAUGUCAUUUAUUUGAAAGGGGCAAUUGCUCCACUACAAGAUGGACCUGCGUUGUAUUAGCUAGUAGGUGAGGUAACGGCUCACCUAGGCGACGAUACAUAGCCGACCUGAGAGGGUGAUCGGCCACACUGGGACUGAGACACGGCCCAGACUCCUACGGGAGGCAGCAGUAGGGAAUCUUCGGCAAUGGGGGCAACCCUGACCGAGCAACGCCGCGUGAGUGAAGAAGGUUUUCGGAUCGUAAAGCUCUGUUGUAAGUCAAGAACGAGUGUGAGAGUGGAAAGUUCACACUGUGACGGUAGCUUACCAGAAAGGGACGGCUAACUACGUGCCAGCAGCCGCGGUAAUACGUAGGUCCCGAGCGUUGUCCGGAUUUAUUGGGCGUAAAGCGAGCGCAGGCGGUUUGAUAAGUCUGAAGUUAAAGGCUGUGGCUCAACCAUAGUUCGCUUUGGAAACUGUCAAACUUGAGUGCAGAAGGGGAGAGUGGAAUUCCAUGUGUAGCGGUGAAAUGCGUAGAUAUAUGGAGGAACACCGGUGGCGAAAGCGGCUCUCUGGUCUGUAACUGACGCUGAGGCUCGAAAGCGUGGGGAGCGAACAGGAUUAGAUACCCUGGUAGUCCACGCCGUAAACGAUGAGUGCUAGGUGUUGGAUCCUUUCCGGGAUUCAGUGCCGCAGCUAACGCAUUAAGCACUCCGCCUGGGGAGUACGACCGCAAGGUUGAAACUCAAAGGAAUUGACGGGGGCCCGCACAAGCGGUGGAGCAUGUGGUUUAAUUCGAAGCAACGCGAAGAACCUUACCAGGUCUUGACAUCCCGAUGCUAUUUCUAGAGAUAGAAAGUUACUUCGGUACAUCGGUGACAGGUGGUGCAUGGUUGUCGUCAGCUCGUGUCGUGAGAUGUUGGGUUAAGUCCCGCAACGAGCGCAACCCCUAUUGUUAGUUGCCAUCAUUCAGUUGGGCACUCUAGCGAGACUGCCGGUAAUAAACCGGAGGAAGGUGGGGAUGACGUCAAAUCAUCAUGCCCCUUAUGACCUGGGCUACACACGUGCUACAAUGGUUGGUACAACGAGUUGCGAGUCGGUGACGGCAAGCUAAUCUCUUAAAGCCAAUCUCAGUUCGGAUUGUAGGCUGCAACUCGCCUACAUGAAGUCGGAAUCGCUAGUAAUCGCGGAUCAGCACGCCGCGGUGAAUACGUUCCCGGGCCUUGUACACACCGCCCGUCACACCACGAGAGUUUGUAACACCCGAAGUCGGUGAGGUAACCUUUUGGAGCCAGCCGCCUAAGUGGAUAGGUGGGG